GAUGAACGCUGGCGGCGUGCUUAACACAUGCAAGUCGAACGCUGAAGCUCCCAGCUUGCUGGGGGUGGAUGAGUGGCGAACGGGUGAGUAACACGUGAGUAACCUGCCCCUGACUCUGGGAUAAGCCUGGGAAACUGGGUCUAAUACUGGAUAUGACUGAUCAUCGCAUGGUGGUUGGUGGAAAGAGUUUUUGGUUGGGGAUGGACUCGCGGCCUAUCAGCUUGUUGGUGAGGUAGUGGCUCACCAAGGCGACGACGGGUAGCCGGCCUGAGAGGGUGACCGGCCACACUGGGACUGAGACACGGCCCAGACUCCUACGGGAGGCAGCAGUGGGGAAUAUUGCACAAUGGGCGCAAGCCUGAUGCAGCGACGCCGCCGUGAGGGAUGACGGCCUUCGGGUUGUAAACCUCUUUCAGUUGGGAAGAAGCCCUUCGGGUGACGGUACUAGCAA
rnacentral:rRNA from 1 species